rnacentral:rRNA from 1 species
UACGUAGGGUGCAAGCGUUGUCCGGAAUUAUUGGGCGUAAAGAGCUCGUAGGCGGUUUGUCGCGUCUGCUGUGAAAACCCGAGGCUCAACCUCGGGCCUGCAGUGGGUACGGGCAGACUAGAGUGCGGUAGGGGAGACUGGAAUUCCUGGUGUAGCGGUGGAAUGCGCAGAUAUCAGGAGGAACACCGAUGGCGAAGGCAGGUCUCUGGGCCAUUACUGACACUGAGGCGCG